UGCGUAGGGUGCGAGCGUUGUCCGGAAUUAUUGGGCGUAAAGAGCUCGUAGGCGGUGUGUCGCGUCGGCCGUGAAAACCUGGGGCUCAACUCUGGGCGUGCGGUCGAUACGGGCAUCACUUGAGUUCGGCAGGGGAGACUGGAAUUCCUGGUGUAGCGGUGAAAUGCGCAGAUAUCGGGAAGAACACCCGUGGCGAAGGCGGCACUCUGGGACGGUACUGACGCUGAGACGCGAAAGCGUGGGGAGCGAACAGG
rnacentral:rRNA from 1 species